GACGAACGCUGGCGGCGUGCUUAACACAUGCAAGUCGAGCGGACAGACCCUGCUCUUGCGGCGUUCUCGAUUGGCGCACACGUGUGUGUCACGUGUGUAUCCCGCCCUUGUCUUUCGGGGAUCUUCUCGAAACUCCGGCUCAUACCCCGUAUAAUCUCCUGCUCCAUGUUGUGCGUUGGAAAAUUUCGGCGGUUCUGUAUCGACUCGCGGCUUAUCAGCUUGUUGGUGGGGUAGUGGCUUACCAAGGCUACGACGGGUAGCCGGCCUGGGAGGGUGACCGGGCACAAUGGGACUGAGAGACGGACCAGACGCGUACGGGCCGCAGCAGUGGGGAACAUUGCACAAUGGGGGGAAGCCAGAUGUGACGGUGCCGCGUGCGGGAUACCGGGCUACGGGGGGAAAACAGAUGUCGACGUUGAUAAGGCGGGAGUGACGGUAAUGGAUAAGGAAGCACCGGCUAACUACGUG
rnacentral:rRNA from 1 species